GACGAACGCUGGCGGCGGGCUUAACACAUGCAAGUCGAACGGAAAGGCCCUGCUUGUGUGUGGUGCUCGAGGGGCGAACGGGUGAGUAACACGUGAGUAACCUGCCCUUGGCUGUGGGAUAACUUCAGGAAACUGGGGCUAAUACCGGAUAGGAGCUGCUGCUGCAGGGUGGGGUUUGGAAAGUUUCGGCGGUUGGGGAUGGACUCGCGGCUUAUCAGCUUGUUGGUUGGGUAGUUGCUUACCAAGGCUUUGACGGGUAGCCGGCAUGAGAGCGUGAACGGCGACAUUGGGACUGAGAUACGGACCAGAGUGCUACGGGAGGCAGCAGUGGGGAAUAUUGCACAAUGGGCGGAAGUCUGAGGAAGAAACGUCGCGUGUGGGAUGACGGCUUUGGGGUUGUAAACCGCUGUCGGCUGUGACGAAGCGUGAGUGACGGUAAUGGGUAAAGAAGCACCGGCUAACUACGUG
rnacentral:rRNA from 1 species